GUACAGGUUCCGUAGGUGACCUGCGGAGGAUCAUUA
rnacentral:rRNA from 1 species